GAGGGUAUAGCUCAAGUGGUAAAGCACAUGCUUAGCAUGCAUGAGGACCUGGGUUCAAUCCCCAGUACCUCCU
rfam:Camelus ferus unplaced genomic scaffold scaffold731, whole genome shotgun sequence.